AAACCCCCCUCUCAACCUCCCUUAUUUUCUCAAUCUCUAUUCUCUCCGAUGUGCAAAAAAAAUAUUCUCUUAAAGUCUUAUCCUGACAAUUCAAUCAAAAACUCAUCUAACCUUCUCUUAUUCUAUGAAAUGAAAUCUCCUCUCUUAUUCUCUCAAGACUCUUGUAAGUCUUCUCUCCUCUCUCACUCUCAAGCAUAAUAAGAAAAAUGAACAGAGGUAACUUCAGCCUUCACGAAUAGAGGCAGUGCACCCACCAAUGGCCAACCCAUGACACACAUGCAGGAAGAAUGGGGAACAUAGACAAGUCAAC
rnacentral:lncRNA from 1 species